UCCCUGGAGGACUAGUGGUUAGGCCACAGCACUUGCACCGCUGCUGCCCGGGUUUGACUCUCAGCCAGGGAA